CACGUAGGGGGCGAGCGUUGUCCGGAUUCAUUGGGCGUAAAGGGCGCGCAGGCGGCCCGGCAAGUCGGAUGUGAAAACUCGGGGCUCAACCCCGAGCGUGCACCCGAUACUGCCGGGCUUGAGGCAGGUAGGGGAGAUCGGAAUUCCUGGUGUAGCGGUGAAAUGCGCAGAUAUCAGGAAGAACACCCGUGGCGAAGGCGGCUCUCUGGGACGUUACUGACGCUGAGACGCGAAAGCGUGGGGAGCGAACAGG
rnacentral:rRNA from 1 species